ACAGCACUGCGACUGACCGUCGUGACUGCCGACAGGAGGAAGAACUGCCUGGUGGGUUAGCGCAGCACAGGUCUGGAUGGUCUGUGCGGUGAUGGUGAGAUGGCUGCAGACUGAGGGAGUGAUGGCCUCCCCGGCUGUGGCGACGCCAUCCCCUAGGCUGGCAGCCAGGGCACAACGAAAGGGACGGAGGACAUUGGGGCACGUCUUGGAAAGCUCCGUUCUGCUGUAGCAGGUGAAUCUUUUGCUGCCAUCACCUGCGGAUGUCAGUCCCCGAAUUUCUUCAGCCUCGAGGGCAGACUCACUAGGACUCUCCAGGAAACUGGGCCCAAAUGGAUUGAAGACAAAAUAUAAGAGCCGACAUCAUAAAAGUCUAAGAAGAAGACGUAGGGAAUGAGUUUUUGGCAUGGAUGUUUGUGCUUUUUUUUUUUUUUUUUUUUUUUU